CGCUUUGCCUCGACAAUCAAUCUCCGAUUUCCCUCCUCUCUUACUAGCAGCUGAUGCGGCCUUUCAAAUCUCCAAUAACCCUCAAACCACCACCUAAAACCAUAAGUGGCUUCAAAAACCAGGCCAUACUUACUGAUUUCUCUACAAUGUUCCAUCUCUUCUCUCCUUAUACAUCUCCAUAAACGAAUUUGACUAUCUCCUUUCUCCACUGAUGGCCCUUAGGCCGAGCUUAGUGGAAGGAAACGGGCACUCAGGUUCCACCAGUCUCUGGCUCUGAAUUACUCUUGGCACCUUCUCUUUGCCAUGCCUUCUUCCUACACCUGAAGGGACCCCGUGUGCCAAUUAUGCCAGAUUUUUGAGCCAGAUCUUACAAGGGCUGACUCACUUGGAGUGUAUAAGGACCGUCUGCUCAAGAGACUAAAAAUUAGCUGGGAUCUGGUCCUCUGCUCAGGAGAAGGCAGUAUAUAGAUCACCAUGGAACCGGAUUCGUAAUCACCACGAGUUACGCCGGACCAGGAUCCAGUGCCGCUGCCAACAGAAGUUCUUGGACAUCCCUAAGUCUCUUACUCUUAGGUGGUUUGAAGGUGAAGAACGUUGUUACUGGUGAUGUUUCGGAUUUGAAAGUGUCUGCGUUGUUCUUUGCUAUUGGUCAUGAGCCGGCAACGAAGUUCUUAGAUGGGCAGCUUGAGUUUGAUGCGGAUGGGUAUGUGGUGACCAGGCCUGGUACCACUAAGACGAGCGUGGUUGGUGUGUUCGCUGCUAGAGAUGUGCAAGACAAAAAGUAUAGGCAGGCCAUUACAGCUGCAGGAACUGGUUUGUUUUUCCACAUCUCUAUUUACGUUUUUGUUUUAGCUUUUUGGAAGUCAUUAGCUUUUAUUGAUGGAACCCUUUCAUUUGUUCAAUGUGUUCUGCGUUGUUUACCAUUUCAUUGUGAGACCAUUUUAAGUGGUUUCAGGAGUCUUUGUUGAAAUGAACAAUUUUAUUAAAAAAUGUUUGAUUGCUCUGUUAAAAUUGAGCUGCAUUUUUGAAAGUCAUUAGCUUUUUAUGGUGGAACCCGUUCAUGUUCUCAAAGUGUGGUUUCGUAUAUCGUCUGUUGGCAGACACAAAUCAAGUUCAAUACGACUAUAAUUUGGUGGAGUUCAAUACGACUAUAGAGAAAAAAUCUCGGGAGCUACUACUAGGGCAUAUUUGUUGGAGAGUGUGUGUUUGUCAAGUUCGUAAAGAAACUUUGUGCUGCACUUGAAAAAGUUAGGCCUGAUUUCUUUUAUGGUGGUGAUGAUAUAAUGAUCAUGCAAGCUUAUUUUGUAGAUUAUGUGAGAAAAAAAUUUAGUUACAUAUCAUGUAUUAGCAUGUGACAUCCAAAGACAACUAUAAUAUAGAUUUUGCACCA